rnacentral:rRNA from 1 species
AUGCCGAUUGCGAAGAUGGCGGAGAAGCUGCUAUGCCAGCGCAUGGGCGCCGUGGAUGAAGGCCAGCAAGUCACAGAGAAAGCCAUUCACAAAUUUGUGGCCAUGUUCCAAGGGCAGCUCCCUGACAUCACAGUGGCGGCUCUCCGGGCGCUGUUCAACCUCGCGACGUGGUGGCGAGGCAGGACCGGAGUUGCAGGCGGUGACGGGGGACGCGUCCGGCUUGGCGGAGUGACUGGAGCGUUUGCAGCCCCUGUAGAAGAAGUGCUCUAG